GCCCCCGUAGCUCAGAUGGAUAGAGCAGCGGUUUCCUAAACCGCGGGCCGCACGUUCGAAUCGUGUCGGGGGCACCA
rnacentral:tRNA from 1 species